UCGGGGAUGGAUGAGCCCGCGUUGGAUUAGCUAGUUGGUGGGGUAAAGGCCUACCAAGGCGACGAUCCAUAGCUGGUCUGAGAGGAUGAUCAGCCACAUUGGGACUGAGACACGGCCCAA
rnacentral:rRNA from 1 species